UACGUAGGGGCAAGCGUUGUCCGGAAUCAUUGGGCGUAAAGAGCGUGUAGGCGGCCCGAUAAGUCCGCUGUGAAAGUCCAGGGCUCAACCCUGGAAUGCCAGUGGAAACUGUCGGGCUGGAGUCCGGAAGAGGCGAGUGGAAUUCCUGGUGUAGCGGUGAAAUGCGCAGAUAUCAGGAGGAACACCAAUGGCGAAGGCAGCUCGCUGGGACGGUACUGACGCUGAGACGCGAAAGCGUGGGGAGCAAACAGG
rnacentral:rRNA from 1 species